CUCAAAAAGAAACUCCGAGCCUUUUUUUGCUAAGUAUUGAAUUUCAAUAUAGGUAAAUUAGGCCGCAACUGUUUACGGUUGCCAGGGUUGAUCAGGAAACUGAUUUGCCUCCCGCUACACAUGCGGCAAUUUCGUUGUAUGUGACUUUGGAAAGGUGUUUAACGUGUUAGAA
rnacentral:ncRNA from 2 species